CACCCCCUCAAGCCGCACCAUGUGCGUGGUUUGGUGUUGGGGCUCGCCGGUCCGGCGGCCCUUAAAGACAGUGGCGGUGUCGGUGUGGACUCUACGCGUAGUACAUUUCUCGCGACAGAGCCGCAGCGCACGCUGGCCAACAACUCCUUUUCUCAAA
rnacentral:misc_RNA from 1 species